rnacentral:rRNA from 1 species
CAGGCUUAACACAUGCAAGUCGAACGAGAAAACCCUUCGGGGUGAGUAGAGUGGCCCACGGGUGCGUAACACGUAGGUGACCUACCUCUUGGCGGGGGAUAACUCGAAGAAAUCUUAGCUAAUACCGCGUAAGCGGUUUUGAUUGAAGACGAAACUGGAAAGAAUGCCUCUGCAUAAGCAUGUACCGAAUGAUGGGCCUGCGUUGCAUUAGCUUGAUGGUGGGGGAAUGGCUUACCAUGGCUUUGAUGUUUAGCUGGUCUGAGAGGAUGAUCAGCCACACUGGAACUGAGACACGGUCCAGACUCCUACGGGAGGCAGCAGUAGGGAAUAUUGCGCAAUGGGGGAAACCCUGACGCAGCCAUGCCGCGUGAGUGAGGAAGGCCUUAGGGUUGUAAAGCUCUGUCAGAAUGGAAAAACGACCAGGGGUCCAAUAGGCCCUUGGAGUGAUGGUACUAUCAGAGGAAGCACCGGCUAACUUCGUGCCAGCAGCCGCGGUAAUACGAAGGGUGCAAGCGUUGUUCGGAUUUAUUGGGCGUAAAGCGCACGUAGGCGGAUAAUUAAGUCAGAUGUGAAAUCUCGGGGCUCAACCCCGAAACUGCGUCUGAAACUGCUUGUCUAGAAUCUUAGAGAGGGAAGGGGAAUUUCGCAUGUAGGGGUAAAAUCCGUAGAGAUGCGAAGGAACACCAGAGGCGAAGGCGCCUUCCUGGAUAAGUAUUGACGCUGAGGCGCGAAAGCGUGGGGAGCAAACAGGAUUAGAUACCCUGGUAGUCCACGCCGUAAACGAUGAGCUAGAUAUGGGGGGAUUGACCCCUUCCGUGUCGUAGCUAACGCAUUAAGUGCUCCGCCUGGGGAGUACGGUCGCAAGACUAAAACUCAAAGGAAUUGACGGGGGCCCGCACAAGCGGUGGAUCAUGUGGUUUAAUUCGAAGCAACGCGAAGAACCUUACCUGGGCUUGAAAUCCCUCGAAUCCGACCCAAAAGCUGGGGUGCCCCUUGGGGAAUGUAGUGAUAGGCGCUGCAUGGCUGUCGUCAGCUCGUGUUGUGAAAUGUUGGGUUAAGUCUCGCAACGAGCGCAACCCCUAUCUUUAGUUGCCAGCAUUAAGUUGGGCACUCUAGAGAGACUGCCUGGGUUAACCAGGAGGAAGGUGGGGAUGACGUCAAGUCCUCAUGGCCCUUAUAUCCAGGGCUACACACGUAAUACAAUGGACAAUACAAAGGGAUGCCAACUCGCGAGAGUGAGCAAAUCCCAAAAAGUCAUUCUCAGUCCGGAUUGGAGUCUGCAACUCGACUCCAUGAAGCUGGAAUCGCUAGUAAUCGUGGAUCAGCAUGCCACGGUGAAUACGUUCCCGGGCCUUGUACACACCGCCC